AAAGGACGGUACCUGCAGAAAAAGCGCCGGCUAACUACGUGCCAGCAGCCGCGGUAAUACGUAGGGCGCAAGCGUUAUCCGGAAUUAUUGGGCGUAAAGAGCUCGUAGGCGGUUUGUCGCGUCUGCUGUGAAAUCCGGAGGCUCAACCUCCGGCCUGCAGUGGGUACGGGCAGACUAGAGUGCGGUAGGGGAGAUUGGAAUUCCUGGUGUAGCGGUGGAAUGCGCAGAUAUCAGGAGGAACACCGAUGGCGAAGGCAGAUCUCUGGGCCGUAACUGACGCUGAGGAGCGAAAGGGUGGGGAGCAAACAGGCUUAGAUACCCUGGUAGUCCACCCCGUAAACGUUGGGAACUAGUUGUGGGGUCCAUUCCACGGAUUCCGUGACGCAGCUAACGCAUUAAGUUCCCCGCCUGGGGAGUACGGCCGCAAGGCUAAAACUCAAAGGAAUUGACGGGGACCCGCACAAGCGGCGGAGCAUGCGGAUUAAUUCGAUGCAACGCGAAGAACCUUACCAAGGCUUGACAUAUACGAGAACGGGCCAGAAAUGGUCAACUCUUUGGACACUCGUAAACAGGUGGUGCAUGGUUGUCGUCAGCUCGUGUCGUGAGAUGUUGGGUUAAGUCCCGCAACGAGCGCAACCCUCGUUCUAUGUUGCCAGCACGUAAUGGUGGGAACUCAUGGGAUACUGCCGGGGUCAACUCGGAGGAAGGUGGGGAUGACGUCAAAUCAUCAUGCCCCUUAUGUCUUGGGCUUCACGCAUGCUACAAUGGCCGGUACAAAGGGCUGCAAUACCGCGAGGUGGAGCGAAUCCCAAAAAGCCGGUCCCAGUUCGGAUUGAGGUCUGCAACUCGACCUCAUGAAGUCGGAGUCGCUAGUAAUCGCAGAUCAGCAACGCUGCGGUGAAUACGUUCCCGGGUCUUGUACACACCGCCCGUCAAGUCAUGAAAGUCGGUAACACCUGAAGCCGGUGGCCUAACCCUUGUGGAGGGAGCCGUCGAAGGUAUAC
rnacentral:rRNA from 1 species